AGCGAACGCUGGCGGCAGGCCUAACACAUGCAAGUCGAGCGAGAAAAUUCCUUCGGGAAUGAUUAAAGCGGCGGACGGGUGCGUACAACAUGGAUAACCUACCCUUAGGUCCGGGAUAACCCCGGGAAACCGGAGCUAAUACCGGAUAAGACCACAAUAACUGCGGUUGUUGGGGUAAAAGUUUUUCGCCUAUGGAUGGGUCCAUGCUCCAUCAGGUUGUUGGUGAGGUAACGGCUCACCAAGCCUAAGACGGAUAGCCGGCCUUAGCGGGUGAUCGGCCACACGGGGACUGAGACACGGCCCCGACUCCUACGGGAGGCAGCAGUGGGGAAUAUUGGGCAAUGGGCGCAAGCCUGACCCAGCCAUGCCGCGUGAGGGAUGAAGGCCUUCGGGUCGUAAACCUCUGUCAGGAGGGACGAUGGGACUUCGGUCUUGACGGUACCUCCAGAGGAAGCCCCGGCUAACUCCGUGCCAGCCGCCGCGGUAA
rnacentral:rRNA from 1 species